UACGUAGGUGGCGAGCGUUAUCCGGAAUUAUUGGGCGUAAAGAGCGCGCAGGUGGUUGAUUAAGUCUGAUGUGAAAGCCCACGGCUUAACCGUGGAGGGUCAUUGGAAACUGGUCGACUUGAGUGCAGAAGAGGGAAGUGGAAUUCCAUGUGUAGCGGUGAAAUGCGUAGAGAUAUGGAGUAACACCAGUGGCGAAGGCGGCUUCCUGGUCUGUAACUGACACUGAGGCGCGAAAGCGUGGGGAGCAAACAGGAUUAGAUACCCCU
rnacentral:rRNA from 1 species